GUUUGUUGUGUCACAUAUGGGCUAAUGGCGGUUCGUUGUCAAAAGUUCAGCUACAGCUAUCUUCUUCGAAAAUUACCAAUGAAUUCGUUGGAAAAAAUGUGAAAGGUGCAUGAAGCCAGUACCGUCAACUAUUGUGUUAAAAAUCCUGGUAUCCUACAGAAUAUGUCAUCCAAAUGAAAGAGUGGAUUCAUCACUAUUAUCGGCUGAAUCAUUCUAUGGGACUUGCCAGAUCACCAACCCAAGCAUGGACCAAUUUCUCAUUCCAUCUUCUAGAGAACCUUACAUAACCGAUUGGUGGUUUAGUGUGUUUUAGGUUUCUAAUGUAGCAUGAUGAUGAUAGACUUUAUGAAAAGUCAUGUUGUUUGAAGAAAAAGGACUAUACAGUCGACAAGGUUCUUUGCUAACCCGUUGGCUGCUACCCUUGAAUCUCCCUGUUUACUUCCUUACACGGGUCCUCUUGAUUUAAGGGUAAUCCUUCGCUACUGAUCAUAGACCCACUUGUGAAAACCGACGAGAGAAUGCUGUAAUCCAAGACUGAUACAUGUGUAGUUGUUAGAUAAAUGACAAGUGCAUAUCUGGGCUCCCUUCUUUUC